AUAACGACUCUCGGCAACGGAUAUCUCGGCUCUCGCAUCGAUGAAGAACGUAGCGAACUGCGAUACUUGGUGUGAAUUGCAGAAUCCCGUGAACCAUCGAGUCUUUGAACGCAAGUUGCGCCCAAAGCCAUGCAUUUGGUAGAGGGCACGUUUGCCUGGGUGUCAC
rnacentral:rRNA from 1 species